rnacentral:rRNA from 1 species
UACGAAGGGGGCUAGCGUUGUUCGGAAUGACUGGGCGUAAAGGGUGUGUAGGCGGUUAUACGCGUCAGAUGUGAAAUCCCCGGGCUUAACCUGUGAAUGGCAUUUGAUACGGUAUAGCUAGAGAUUGGUAGAGGGUAGAGGAAUUGCGAGUGUAGAGGUGAAAUUCGUAGAGAUUCGCAGGAACACCGGUGGCGAAGGCGGCUACCUGGGCCAAUACUGACGCUGAGGCACGAGAGCGUGGGGAGCAAACAGG